CCCUUAGAUGUUCUGGGCUGCACACGCGCUACACUGAAGGGAUCAGCGUGUUCUUUUCCUGGUCCGAAAGGAUCGGGUAACCCGCUGAACCCCCUUCGUGGUAGGGAUCGGAGCUUGCAAUUAUUCUCCGUGAACCAGGAAUUCCCAGUAAGCGCAAGUCAUAAGCUUGCGUUGAUUACGUCCCUGCCCUUUGUACACACCGCCCGUCGCUACUACCGAUUGAAUGGUCCGGUGAAGCCUCCGGAUUGGCGCGCACCUCGGUGCCGCCGAGAAGUUGGCUAAACCUUACCAUUUAGAGGAAGGUGAAGUCGUAACA
rnacentral:rRNA from 1 species